rnacentral:tRNA from 1 species
GCCGUUUUAGUAAAAGUUUAUUAUGUUAUUUUGAUGGGAUAAAGUUUGAGAUGGUU